GUACGGCGAGUGAAGCGGCAAAAGCUCAAAUUUGAAAUCUGGUACCUUCGGUGCCCGAGUUGUAAUUUGGAGAGGGCAACUUUGGGGCCGUUCCUUGUCUAUGUUCCUUGGAACAGGACGUCAUAGAGGGUGAGAAUCCCGUGUGGCGAGGAGUGCGGUUCUUUGUAAAGUGCCUUCGAAGAGUCGAGUUGUUUGGGAAUGCAGCUCUAAGUGGGUGGUAAAUUCCAUCUAAAGCUAAAUAUUGGCGAGAGACCGAUAGCGAACAAGUACAGUGAUGGAAAGAUGAAAAGAACUUUGAAAAGAGAGUGAAAAAGUACGUGAAAUUGUUGAAAGGGAAGGGCAUUUGAUCAGACAUGGUGUUUUGUGCCCUCUGCUCCUUGUGGGUAGGGGAAUCUCGCAUUUCACUGGGCCAGCAUCAGUUUUGGUGGCAGGAUAAAUCCAUAGGAAUGUAGCUUGCCUCGGUAAGUAUUAUAGCCUGUGGGAAUACUGCCAGCUGGGACUGAGGACUGCGACGUAAGUCAAGGAUGCUGGCAUAAUGGUUAUAUGCCGCCCGUCUUGAAC
rnacentral:rRNA from 1 species